CACGUACCUGUGCGUCACGCGUCACAGGCCGGAGCCGCGACCUCGGCGCCGUGCAGAGCGGGCCCGGGCGCCGCCAGGGGAAAAACUCGCUGCGUCAUGCCUCGCCCCCUCGCCCCGCCCCUCCGAGCCGAUUGGGCGGUGCUGCUGAAGCGCGGCCGGCGAUUGGCCGAGAGAGGCGGCUGCAGUAACGUUCAAAGAAAGGGGCGGGGCUGGCGAACGAGGGCGAGAGGGGACGCGGAUUGGCUGGGAGGGGGCUGGAGAGCCGCGCGUGCGCAGCGGUUCACGGGAUCUCGGAGUCACAGAAUGUCAGGGACUGAGGGGACCUGGAGAGCUCAUCAGUGCAAUCCCCCCAUGGAGCAGGAACACCCAGGAUCUCGACGGCUAAGUACUGGUAACCUGUGAAACAGCAGAUGCAUUUAGUGAAUAGGUACGUGAUGAAAGGAUCAUUAUUUGAUGAGGAAGUGGGUUUGUGUACUCCGGCAGUGACAGCAGUGAUGGAUGUCACUCUGCGUGCUCCUUUUCCACCUCCAGCCUCUCUUUUCCCCUUGCUGCAGCACAGAUUCCCCUUUGGUCGCGGCUGCAGGGUACCACACCGCGGGACUGGGGUGACCCUGCCACACGGGUGGAUUUGGUGGGGCUGAGGACAGAGCAGCGUUCAGAAACCCUGCCCUCACAGCUCUGUGAGGUGCGGAGGGACCGACCUGCCCGCUGCAGGCACCUUUUCGUCUUGCAUGUUUUAACAGACAUCUUUUUAAACAAGACACGAGUCCGGUGUGUUAAAAGACAUGAAGAUUGCAGGACCAUCCCCUGAGUCGCCUCGCUGCCAUCCUUGCACCCCCCAGGCCCAUGGCGUGGUCCAAAAUUUGGGCCAUUUACCAAGCCAGAGGACUGAAAAAACUAAAGCAAGAGUUACCUUCCAAUGAUGUAAAUGGAUCUGGAAGCACAGGUGAAAUUUGGGGUAGUUACACUUUCAGCUUCCAUAUAUAUUCUUACAUUUUUUCUGGCUUCCCCAUCAUAUUUAGGCGCUGUGCUUUUCACUCUGCUGAAGUACAGAAGUACAUUUUUACCCUUCCAUGUGCUCAAAGUGGUAAGCACCAAUAUUUCUUCAUUUGCGAGAGCUUCUGGUUUUGCUCCCUCCUUGCCACCCGAUUUUUAUUGAUUAGGUCUUUUCCCUUACUCUCUUUUUCUUCUCUCAUGCACCUGUCAGACCCUUGUUUAUUUAUCUCAUUUCUGUUAACUUGCACUUACUCUGUACUCAUUUAGGAGAGCUUACUAAUGCAGGGUUUCUCUCACCCCUUCAGCUGCUUUAUUUACUGUCGCUAAUUGCAAUGGGUUUGUCCCACCAUAGGAUAUCCGUGCUUGCUCAGCCUGCAUCACAGCAGGAGCUUAGAACUCAUCCUUCCUGGGCAUGGGUGUUUUGUAAACUUGCAGAAAAAGCUGUGAUGUCCUUCCACUGGCUCUUUGGAUGGCCAAUAAUCCUUAUUACAUGAGGAUCUCUCAGGUGUUUGUUCUAUCUUGACUGGGAUGCUCGAAAUACAGGCAAAUAAGGAACUUUUGGGGAACGUUGUCUGUCCUCCGUGCUCUAGGACUUGGAGACGGUGCCGAGCAGCCUUUGAGCGCUCUGGAAUGCUGCUGUGCAAGCGGUAGCAGCUGAAGCAGGGAUGAGCUGAUCUGGAUGGCGAUAAGGCCGUCAGUGCAUUUCUCCUGCCCAGGUGAAGUCCAGAUGGCGCCUGGAGGGCUCCGGGCCAGAGGGAACGUCUCAUUGGGGCACCGCAUGGGAUCUGAACUCACCGUUUGUGUUAAUAUGUUUAGGGCUGAACAGCUUCUCACAUGAAGUGGCCUUUCUCUGAAAUUCUCUUUGCCUCUAACAAGCGUGACGCUUGGGUUGUGUUUUCCCAGCGCGGCAUCAGGGCUUAACCUCAGCGUUCCCUGGUCCUGCUCCAGCUGCUUCACUCCCCCAGGGUCUGCGAGUUGUGCUGGGAGCUGCAAAGGAGUUCAGGGAACUCGGACAAGUGACGUACACCGUGCGCUGAUGCACCGCUGGCUGUUCUCCAGCCCUGCUUUAUGUCUGAAUUGACCGGAUACUCCUUCAAAUCAAACACAGCCUUCGCAGCUGUUCAGAUGAUAAAUGCAAUUAAUUGUAUUAAUGAAUGCAGCACAUCAGAUAUGGCCUUUUUAGUGAAAAAGAGAAAAUGCCAGAAGGAAGAACUGCAAGGUUAUGUAUAUGCAGCCAUAUACUCAACAGAUGUUGAGGGAGGCUGAGGAAAGGGAACAUAUAUUUUAUUUUCUUGCUUAUAGCUGCUUUGUUGUGAUGGAAGAAAAACCAGGAUAGAGGAAAAACAAUGAUGAAUUUCAUGGAGGAAACAUAAGUAUUUUUAUGCUAAUACAAUACAUACAAACCCACAAACACGCUGUUACUCAGAUCCCAAAUGCAGAACAGCUCUGACUCGUGCAUUCAAUUCCUGUAACAGCAAUUACCAGUAUAAUUAAUUACCUGCUCUGUCCUUUGGCAGAUCAGGACCUUCCCCAGGAGUUUUUUGCCCAGUGCAGUGUUUGCGCUGGGCGUGCUUCCACACUGACAGCAUCGACCUUCCUGCCACGGAGCUUACAAAGUACAUUCAGUUCCAUCGUACACUCGUUCCUACUCCCUCUUGCAUUUUCACAAAGAUCAUAUUUUCCAAUAUUCAGUUAGAAACACUGGCAAAAUAGCGGUAGAAUCAAAUUGAGGAACAUACAGGUCCUGGGAUGCAGCUGGCAGGGACAAGGUGUUUGUGUUUUUUAAAGGAGUUUGAUGCAUGAGUACAGGUCACCUCCUCUUCCCAUUUACCUCACUGGGAACAGGUCUGACUGCACCAUCAUCGAACAAAUGGGGACGAAGGAAGUGACUUUCCAAACCACAUUUAAAUUAAGACCUGAAGUUAAGAGUAGAGAGCAGCCUCUGCAGAACAUUAGUUUUGCAUAAUAUACAUUAUGAGGACACAAGGGUAGUAUUAAAUUAUUCAGAAUGACGUUUUCCUCUGGAAAUUACCCCUAAUAAGCGUUCAAUAUGGGAGCAGAAGGGGUGAAAGUUCAUAGAAACUUUUGGACUGGAGGUCUCAGUAUGAACAGUUUGACAACCUGUUGUAUGACAGGAUGACAUGUGGCUUUAGUUCUAGUUGGAUUAAAGCUGGAAGAGUCCGACUUAGCCUAACUUCUAUCGAAAGAUGGCAAGGAGUGUUCUCAAAGCAAUGUGCUGUCUUGGAGCCGCUUCAGUCAGAUUCCUCUGCUGUGAGAACAAGAGCUCAGGGCUCGGAAAAUGAGGCUGGUUCUUUCUGUGGUACCCAAACACCCCCAGCAGGAUAAUAUUCCUUAGUAAAAUGAGAUGAACAGGCCUUGGAUGUGCAACAAUUGCAGUUCAGUUAAUAAACAGCAAACACUGUCUGCAGGGGCUAAAAGAUCUCAGACCUUUUAACAGAAAGAAAAAGAAGUAAAACAGGAAAAUGUUUUCAUCAGUCAAGUGAUCAAUGCCAGCAAAGGGUGAUUUUUUUUUUAAGUUAGUUCAAAACAUCUCUAGAUAUUGGAAAAUAUUGAGGGCUGAAGUCUACCAAUAAACAUUUUCUUACACUUCAACAGUUAAAAAUAUUCAGAGUAGGUAAAACCCAAACUUAAUCUGCUCCCUUCCAAGACCAAGCAGCACUUUAGAAUAAUCAUCGUUCACACACAUCUCUUGCUGGGCAAGGAAAUGCACAGAGAAGCACAGGCAUCAAUUAUGUUUUCCAUCCUGCUGGCUGAGUGGAAUCCAUUUCUGCAGCAUCUCACAUCCUCCGGACAGAAGAUCAUCCGUGCCACUGAAGAGGCUUUCGGCGAGCACUGGGAAGGUCACUGCCACCUCCCUUGGCAGCACCGCCUGGUCCAGGGAGAGAAUGGGAGCACCUGGAGCUGCUGCCGUGGUUUCACAUCUAUAGGUACUGCUUGCUGCCUGGCCGGGGGAAAAAAUGCGCACAAACUUGAGUUUAAUGACAUUUUAUUGAUUCUUUUCCAUGGCUGAGGCCUCUCACAAGCCACAUGAAGAGCUGGAGAUCACAGCUUUAGUUGCACUGUCACUUUAAUCUGGUACCUGUGGCUCUGCUGCUGAGUCACCCCUCCUUUCUCUACCUUCAUUUGCUUAGUCCUGACCCUCCCUUAGGCUGGAACAAGCAUUUUUUUAACUUUGUAGUAAACUGAUCUGUAUGAAAGAUGACUUGAUUUCUGUAGUUUUGUUUACUGCAUCAGCACUGGUACUUGUGUCAGUACAAGCCAAGUGACUUUUUGAUAGCACUGCUCUUUAUUCAUGCUCGUGGAGUUACGCUGCAAUUCUGCUUCUCAUAAAUUCAAAUUCAGAACUGAGUUGCAGCAAAGGCUAGAAAUUUUCUAAAUACAGUUUUGUACCACCGAGGAGGCUGAUUUCCAUUCUUCUACUAUACCUGUGUCCACAACACAUGAACAGCGCUUGUAAUAGUGUUAAAAUAGGAAGUCUGUACAUGGUUGUUUGAAAACUGCAAAUUUAUUCUGGCUUCCCGCAUACUAAUUUAUUCAGACAAGCCCAAAGCUGUCUGUGUGGAACAGGGCCAAUAGACCUUGUGCUAAAAAAGUAUAUAAGAAGGUACCUAUCGGUGGUUCAGCCCUUCUCUUCGAAAAUACCUUGAAUACAGGACUGGACAAGAUGCUCAUGCAGACAAGCGCUAAGCAGAGAUCUCACAAUGUGUUUUGGCAACUCGCACACAUCCCUCCUGAGGAGGCGGCAGUGGAGGUGCUGGAGCGAUACCUGGGCUUUCACAAAGAUGCAUCUAUUUUUAGUUUCUAUUGGGCCAUCUCCUCCACAAUGGGAGCGGUGCUGAUCUCAUCUCUGAUGGCAGCAAUCAGCACCAGACCCUGAGGUCGCUGCUGUUGGGCCAAACCAGCUAUUUCAAUGCGAUACUGUCCACAAAUGCAGGGAACAGAGUCGACAUUCAUAAUACCUCGUCAGAAAAGGUGCUGGAGAAGACUUGACAAUGUUUUUCAGAUAGUAAGAAAGAUAAAGUCUAAGAACAGUUUCACAGAAUCACAGAUUAGGGAUUGGAAGGGACCUGGAAAGCUCAUCCAGUGCAAUCCCCCCAUGGAGCAGGAACACCCAGGUGAGGUUACACAGGAAGGUGUCCAGGCGGGUUGGAAUGUCUGCAGAGAAGGAGACUCCACAACCUCCCUGGGCAGCCUCGUCCAGGCUCUGGCACCCUCACUGAGAAGAAGUUUCUUCUCAAAUUUAAGUGGAACCUCCUGUGUUCCAGUUUGCACCCAUUACCCCUUGUCCUAUCACUGGUUGUCACCGAGAAGAGCCUGGCUCCAUCCUCCUGACACUCACCCUUUACAUAUUUAUAAACAUUAAUGAGGUCACCCCUCAGUCUCCUCUUGUCCAGCUCCAGAGCCCCAGCUCCCUCAGCCUUUCCUCACACGGGAGAUGCUCCACUCCCUUCAUAAUUUCCAUUAUGUACUACAGGAAUAUUUUUCUACAUGGAAGAUGCCAGCAAGAAGAAAAUUUUCAUUUCAUUCAAAAUUUAAAUUCUUACAGGAAAUGGAAAAGUUCUGAAGAAAGGGUUUUUCAUUACUAUUAAACCCCUCACAUUUUAUAAGCAAACAGAAAACUGUUAACCCUUAACCUCAGUGUUUACAAAUGGAAAAUACUGGAUCAGUCUACCACGAUUCCAGUACAGUAUUGAGGCUGGAACCACAGUAAAGAGCACUGGCUGCAUAAUUCCAUUAGCAUGAGCCGCCCUUAAAGUCGAAAGAAAAUAAGAAUGCUUCUAUACCUGCUUUACACAAAUCAAAAUCCAUGUAUAUCUAUAUAGGAACAAGUAAUUGUUAAGAACUGCUAAAAACAAACGGAUGUAGUAGGGUUUAAUUUCUUCCAUCUCCAAGAAUCUACAAUUAUAAGAGUCUCAUCUUCAAACGUUACAGGACAUUUACAUGAACUUUCCUCGCUCCUCUGCUUCUGUACAAAUCAUAUACAAUAAAAAGUUUCCAUUUUGUUAUACGAACAUCAGUUUGCACCUUAUUACAGAUGAAAAGGUGUUCUCUGGCACCUGAUUUCCUCCGCGGUGCCUGUGUAUUGCAGCACAGAGCUCUAUGGAUCCGCACGUCUGGAAUCUUCAGCUCGGGUAACAUGGACUGAUCAACAGGCCACAGCUUCUGCAACUCCAAAGUUCUAAAUAAUGAGAAAAUUUACCACUUGUUUGUAUAACAAUCAACAGUUUAUUAAUGGAUAUGGUGAAAUUUUAGCUAUCCACCAAAGAUGUGUAAAAAAUUGUCAUGAAAGUAAAAAUAAAUAAAGCUGUUUUUAAAAUCA